GCAACAGCUGCCGCACUUCCUAUUUGAGAAGGAGCGGAGCUAACUCUUCUCCAGGAUGUAUCAUUCUAAAUUUUGGAAAUACUUCACACGUGGCCUUCUCCGACAUCAAACUAAAGGAAAAUGUAUAUAAAGUCUCAGAAGGUUUUCCAGGGGAUGAGAAGCGGAGCAGUGCUGGUGGGCUGGUUGGGAGUUGCCCUCACUCUGGUCUCCUGCACCUCAGGAUUCUCACACGGAGCCAACCCCUCUGCCUGUGCCGAUAUGAAGCCGAGACACAUCCGAGCUCAGCCCCACAACCCCCACAACAACCACAUCACACUCCACACCGACAGAGCCUCCUACCUGCCAGGAGACGGGGUGCCUGUGGCGGUGAGGAGCAGUCGAAGCUUCAUGGGGUUCCUGAUUCAACCGCGCCGUGUCAUGAUGAUCACAUCACAGGCUCCUUUGUUGUCGCUCCGCCCGGCUCCAAGCUGCUGAGCUGCCUGGAGGAGGGAGACACCGUGACCCACUCCGACAAGUCCCUGAAAAGAAACCUCUCCUUCGUGUGGAGGGCACCCGAUCAGCCCUCCGGAGACAUAUGUUUCUUCUUAUGCUCCUGUGACACACAAAUCUGUUCAAUACCUCACAUCUAGACCGAUAUUAACCAAACAACCAACCCAAGACUUGGAAACAGAGGAAACUAGAAAAUACACCUCAGGAGCUCCCCUGAUUGGCCUGGUCCUUUCAACAACAGAACCCAGGAAUCUUCACUGAUUCCAGGGAGAGAGGAGGACUCCCCUCAAGCACAGCUAGCAGGAGAACCUACUGAAUACCAGCCACAGGAAAGAUGCCUGAUGCCUUGAGCUGAAUAUCUACAUGUCACAUUAUGGCUGGAGGCAUGUGUGCUGUCUAGUGCACCCUGCAUGAUGCAUCCAAGAUGUUCAAUACCCUGCUCCAGAAAAGACACAUGUUACCUUUGAGGCACAUUCACACUGGAGCAUUUUAAAGCAACAAGGUGCAUAUGUUGUCAAGUGUACAAUACAAAUGAAUUGCCUACAGCUAUGAGCAUGAGGAGGCUACACCGAAGGGAUUGACUUAUAUCACCUCUUUUGAACUAACUGCUAGUCUCAUGCUAUUAAUAAGACUUGCAUAUUUUUUCGCUGAUGUGUUCAGCCCAGGUCAACACUGACAUUUGCAAAUGAAACUAACUGAUAUUGAUCAAUAUCAAACAAGUAGACAGUCAAACUGCCAGCUAUUUUCCUUGUAACAGUGCUAACCUGAAUUUAGUAAAUCACUGAGCACAAUCUGAACCCCAUACGUAAAAUAUCAGUUUACUGAUUUAACUUAAUGCUAAAAUGUCAAAGGCAAAUAAACACUAACUUGUCUAAUGUAUUUUUUUUAAAGAUUGUAUAUAUAGUAGUCAAUUGAAGUACACUUUGGGAAAACCACAUAGGCCUGCAAGCAAGGUAGCUAGACUGAACAAAAGAAAAACAUCUCAGCACUAGAAUAGAACUUGAUCGAUUUAAAUACCAUCUGUGGCUACUGUACAUUUUUGCCUUAACUGAUGUGUCAAUCAGCAUUUUUUCCUCUGUACUGAUAUAAUAAGCCAUGGUUUAGCUAAUUUUGUAAGGUAUAACAGUGUAAUUGUACAUGUAUCAUACAGAAUUCUUCCAUUUGCUCUUAGAUUACAUUAAUUUUCAUACUGUAUGGGAGGUAAGGGGACUGUUCAAAAAUAACAAAAUACUACCUGUUCAUUAAUUAAAGGGGCAUUUUCAGUUUAACGUAAGUAAAGAAACCCAGCCCAAGAUGGCUGUGCAGCCCAAGAUGACUGUGGUGCAGCACAAGAUGGCUGUGCAGCCCAAGAUGACUGUGGUGCAGCCCAAGAUGGAUGUGCAGCCCAAGAUGACUGUCUCUCCUGUUUUCCUGCAUCAGAUACACAGGAUGAAUUAAUCGACAAUUCCAAGUGUUUUGUGUUUUGGGCAGCAGUGUGGAGUAGUGGUUAGGGUUCUGGACUCUUGACCGGAGGGUUGUGGGUUCAAUCCCAGGUGGAGGACACUGCUGUUGUACCCUUGAGCAAGGUACUUUACCUAGAUUGCUCCAGUAAAAACCCAACUGUAUAAAUGGGUAAUUGUAUGUAAAAAUAAUGUGAUAUCUUGUAACAAUUGCAAGUCGCCCUGGAUAAGGGCGUCUGCUAAGAUAUCAAUAAUAAUUAUACUCCUUGGCUGUGCAUGUUGACUCCCAUCCACCACAUACACUAUUUUAAAGAUUUCACAGAUUGGCAGAACAGGACACAUCAUCCUGUGUCAUUUAACACUCGUUUGAUUCCAUUUCAGAAGUGACUUACGUCAGUAGGUCUUAGGAACUGAUAUUCACAAGAUGACAAAUCAUUACCCUUAUCCACCAACUUUGAAAACAGCUCGUGAACAUCCCCUUAUAACUCACAGGUACAGUAUAUGAGCACUGCAAUCACCAUCCAAGCCAACCCUGUAGUUCAGGAGACCUUUAAUAGAGGUUAGUCUAUAAAAAGCAGCCACCUACCUCGUUAAGAGCUUUGAAAUAGGUAUAAAUUCAAGAGAUUGUUUAAAGAGUUACAAAUUCCCUUCGCUUUUCUCAUUCCACUGUUAAAUUUAAGCCGUAUGAUUUACUAAUUUACUGCUUGGUGAAUGCGCCUGUACAUAAAAACUUCUCCAGGUAAAAUGCCUCUACAUUCUUCAACCUAAUGUAACAGCUGACAGCCCAGGAUCCUUUGGGACUAUUUGUUAAUAGCAACUACAGUGAAUUGCAACCAUAACCAAAGUAAUAAGUAACAUGUACUUCAGACUACUUACCUUUUUCAUAUUCCUUCACAUUUAUUGUUCCUAAAUGGUGUUUUUUUUUCAGAGCAGGAAGCCGUAGCACUUACGGUGUAUUUCAGCCAUGCAGGAACUGUGGUGAAGAUGGAGACGUAAAGACGUGUUUUCUUUUUUUUUUUUUCUUUGCCUGAAGCUGGAAUGUGUGGUGUGUGCCCUUGUCAGUUAGACAGUCAGUUUAAUAAUGCUUGAAGUUUAAAUCAUUAAUUUUGAUUUUUUUAGAGUAAAACAAACGUGACAAUUAAAGACUGGUUCAAGUAACUAAUAUUGUCCUGGUUAGUGGUUUUGGUGUGGGAAGUCCAAAAGGCAGGAGAUCAUUAAAAUGACAUUAAGAGUCCAGAGCAUUUGAUUGGUGUUCAUGGUUUAGUUUGGAAUACCAAAGACCAUUGCAGUGAUGGCAUUGUUGUACAUAGGUCAUAGGUCCUGAGUAUUUAAUUUAUAAAAGUGCAUAUUGGUGAUUAUUUAAUCAAUUUGAUAUUUGAUACAAGGGACAUGUGUGGUAAACCCUGAACUUUGUGAUUAUUAGAUAUUUCAAGGUUGUGUUGUGUGCUCUGAGGAUUGUUUAUAAUUUUGUUAACGUUUACCUUUAAAAAGAUUUUCUGCUGUUCACGCUUUGCCUAAUUGCAUAUGCAGCAGUGUGGAGUAGUGGUUAGGGCUUGGACUCUUGAUCGGAGGGUCGUGGGUUCAAUCCCACGUGGGGGGACACUGCUGCUGUACCCUUGAGCAAGGUACUUUACCUAGAUUGCUCCAAUAAAAACCCAACUGUAUAAAUGGGUAAUUGUAUGUAAAAAUAAUGUGAUAUCUUGUAACAAUUGUAAGUCGCCCUGGAUAAGGGUGUCUGCUAAUAAAUAAAUAAAUAAAUAAAUAAUAAUAUGCUGUGAGAUGUGGGCAUAACAAAGACACUAAUAUUGAUGGUGCCUUGUUUACAAUGACUCAUCUUGUAAUUUUAACUGCUUGCAUUUGAUUAUGAAUGACAGUUUUACCAUCACUAUAUUACACGUCCUGUGCUUUGACUUAACAUAAUGCAGAAUUUUACAAGGAAGCAGUUCAUUCUCAUAGACUGUCUAUUGCCUUGAAUGGCAUAUUGCCUUCUUUAUAUUUGCAGAGUUACUUUGUCCAAUUAAAUUCUAUUCCCCUUUGAGAUUUAAAGUCAAACUCUAAAGUAGCUACAAGACUUAACUGUGUAAGACAUGUUUAUCUGUGCCAUUAAAAUUGGUUACUGUAGUUGUUCCUGAAACCAUGUGCCAUUGCUGCAUUUCCUGACCCACUUUGGUUCUGUGACUAGCUCCCUCUGCUGGUAGGUGCUGAGAGACACGGUUGUGUAAUAAUAAGCACAAACUAAUGCAUAGAAACCUGUUCUUUUUGUGUGUUGUGUUUUAAGGCUAGCAUCUUGAGUUCUGGUGUUGAAGAUUCUUUUUUGUCAGCUGCCACACCUCCACCUGCCACAGACUCGUCUCUGGUCGAGCAAGGUCUUAACCAGCCGGACAUCUCAAUGGUGGCUGGAAACCCCUCCCCAGCACCGAGGCGAUCCGGUACGGACGUAGUGACACAAACGUCCUCUGCAGACUUCCUUCAGCAGACAGAGAAGUGGGGGUCCAGGGAGCAGAAGGGUGGCGUAGCCAGAAACACAAGUGCAGACCGAGGUGUCCUUCAGCGAGCAGGACAGCAACAUUAUUCACGUCCAAGAGAGUGGAGAACUGGUGCAAGUACGCAAAACAGCUUUGUCCUGGUCCAGGCUGAAUACAAUGUGAUCACCCCUCCUGGGAAGUGACAUUAUUUAGGAAAUUCCAGAACAAAUUAAUGUAUAAAUGCAGCUUAUUUUUAGUGCAUUAGUGCAUAGAUUAACCUGGCUGUCUUUGUCAAAAGAAAUUUGCUGAAACAAUGUCCCUCCAAAUGUAUUUUUAUUUAAUCUGCUAUUCACUAGUGGCUUACAUAGCUCAUAUUUAUUUACUUGCCUUAUACUGUACUUUAUUAGACAAAAAGCUGUAACAGUAAUUAUUAUUAUUGUUGCCAUAUAUUUGGUGCUGUAGCGCAUCCAGUUAUUUAAUUGGCAGUCACCAAUCCCCAGCUCCCUAUAAAAUUUAAUUUCCACAGCAAUCCAGUUAUUUUUUUCUUUUGAACCUAUUUUUAUUCCUUCAUUUUCCUGCCUUGUUCUUAGUUUGAUGUUUUUUAGUCUCCAAUUUUUAAUGGAAUGUAUGUGAAUGGAUCAACAAGCCCUUAAAAAUUAGAUUUGCAUAUUAUAGUUUGACGUAGGAAUACCAUUAUGUGGUUGUCAUUUUGCUGGUGUCCACUGGAGGUCAGCCUUACACAAUUUGUUAAUAUUCCAGACAAAGCAAAGAAAGCGUGUGGUUGGCGCCAUCUACCAUCUACUAUUGUAACUUCACGAAUGGGAUUAUAAAUGUCUUUAUCCCAUACUGUUAUUUAUUUAUUUUUUAAAAAAAUAUUUUUUACUAUGAUUUAGUCAUUUUGGGCAUAUAAUUCUUUGGGGGUUUUAAAUUUAUUUUAUAUAGACAUUUUAGAGUUGGUUAGUUGCUUUAUUUUAAUAGUUUGUCACAGGAUUGACUAUGUGGUUACUUAACACAUAUGUUUUCAUGACUCGAAUGCUUGAAUGCAUAGACAACGAUAUUUCAAUGCAAUCACCAUGACUUCUCCAGUUUGACUAUUGCAAUAUUACGAGGGCUUUACUUUUUUAAUGAUGUGGUGAAUGUAUUGAUAAGCGAAUACAAUCAGUCAUUGCAAAGCAUGAAAUGAAACAGUAUUAUAACCACCCCUCCUAAGACAAGUGCAUGAUUUUACUUCAUGUAUGAGAACACGUGCUGAUGAUUCUAUUGAAGCAUUAUUGCUAAUAUAAUAGCACUUUAAUUCAUGCAAGAAUAGCCUGUGGAAAAAAAAACUUUGGCAGGAAUCAUUUUUGAAGGUCUACAGCAGCACUAAUAAAAUAAAAUAAGGGCUCUUAAAAAUUCUAUUUUGCAACAGCUUGCAAGGAGGUUGCUAUAUUUAUAUUUUGUUAAUAAGGGGGUUGAAGGUGGCACAGUCAUGAAACUUUAGAAGCAUGUAAAGAGGCACUGGAAAAUAAAAAUAGAUAAUGUCCAGUAUAGAAGAAUAAAAGAAAAUAAAUGGAUAAAUAGAUUAGAUACCAUGAUGCCUGAAGAUUUAAAUAGAAAUAAAUUGUAGAUUGUUACAUCAUUAGCUAUAUAGUGAAUGAGUCAUUAGCUAUAUAGUGAAUUAGCUAUAUAGUGAAUUAGCUAUAUAGUGAAUGACAGGAGGCUGUGUGGUCCAGUGGUUAAAGAAAGUGGCUUGUAACCAAGAGCUCCCCGGUUCAAAUCCCACCUCAGCCAAUGACUCAUUGUGUGACCCUGAGCAAGUCACUUAACCUCCUUGUGCUCCGUCUUUCGGGUGAGACGUAGUUGUAAGUGACUCUGCAGCUGAUGCAUAGUUCACACACCCUAGUCUCUGUAAGUCGCCUUGGAUAAAGGCGUCUGCUAAAUAAACUAAUAAUAACAUCACAAAGACAUUAAAUUCAAAGAGAAAUAAAUGUGGUUACCAUGGCAUCAAAAGCCUAUAAACACCUCCAGUGUUUGUUUUCAGACACACUUUCCCUUGACAAAAGUAAACAUAACGAAACAUUGGGAAGUUGGUUCUUUGAACUUUGAUGAUGUUUCUCUGUACUUGUUGAUUAUGCUUCGGAUACCACACCUUGAAAAUCAAGUGAUGCGAGCUAUUUCACUCAAUGUUUUUCCUUCUUAAUGCAAGUCAAGGUUGUUAUAAUAGUAGAAAACACUAGUGGAGGCUUUGAGUAAAUUGUUGAUGCUCAUAAUGCAUCAGAGUAGAAAAAAUGCAACAUGUCUAAGACUUUUGC